GACGAACGCUGGCGGCGUGCUUAACACAUGCAAGUCGAACGGAAAGGCCCUGCUUUUGUGGGGUGCUCGAGUGGCGAACGGGUGAGUAACACGUGAGUAACCUGCCCUUGACUUUGGGAUAACUUCAGGAAACUGGGGCUAAUACCGGAUAGGAGCUCCUGCUGCAUGGUGGGGGUUGGAAAGUUUCGGCGGUUGGGGAUGGACUCGCGGCUUAUCAGCUUGUUGGUGGGGGAGUGGCUUACCAAGCCUUUGACGGGUAGCCGGCCUGAGAGGGUGACCGGCCACAUGGGGACUGAGAGACGGCGCAGACUGCUACGGGAGGCAGCAGGGGGGAAUAUGGCACAAUGGGCGGAAGCCUGAUGCAGCAACGCCGCGUGCGGGAUGACGGCCUGCGGGUUGUAAACCGCUGUCGCCUGUGACGAAGCGGGAGUGACGGUAAUGGGUAAAGAAGCACCGGCUAACUACGUG
rnacentral:rRNA from 1 species